rnacentral:rRNA from 1 species
AACAAACGCUGGCGGCGUGCCUAACACAUGCAAGUCGUACGUGAAAGUCCGCUUCGGUGGGUGAGUAAAGUGACGCACGGGUGAGUAACGCGUGGAUAAUCUGCCCUAUAGUCAGGAAUAACUCAUCGAAAGGUGAGCUAAUACCUGAUAAUGCUGGUUUUGCUUCGGCAAAGCAGCCAAAGAAGGCCUCUAUUCAUAAGCUUUCGCUAAAGGAUGAGUCCGCGUACCAUUAGCUUGUUGGUGGGGUAAUGGCCUACCAAGGCGACGAUGGUUAGCUGGUCUGAGAGGAUGAUCAGCCACACUGGGACUGAGACACGGUCCAGACUCCUACGGGAGGCAGCAGUGAGGAAUCUUGCGCAAUGGGGGAAACCCUGACGCAGCAACGCCGCGUGAGUGAGGAAGGUUUUCGGAUCGUAAAGCUCUGUCGGGUGGAAAGAAAGGUAUGGAGGUUAAUACCCUUCUUACUUGACGGUACCACCAGAGGAAGCACCGGCUAACUCCGUGCCAGCAGCCGCGGUAAUACGGGGGGUGCAAGCGUUGUUCGGAAUUAUUGGGCGUAAAGAGCGUGUAGGCGGCUUGGUAAGUCAGAUGUGAAAACCCUGGGCUCAACCCAGGAAGUGCAUUUGAAACUGUCUUGCUGGAGUAA